UACGUAGGGGGCAAGCGUUGCUCGGAAUCACUGGGCGUAAAGGGUGCGUAGGCGGGUCUUUAAGUCAGGGGUGAAAUCCUGGAGCUCAACUCCAGAACUGCCUUUGAUACUGAGGAUCUUGAGUUCGGGAGAGGUGAGUGGAACUGCGAGUGUAGAGGUGAAAUUCGUAGAUAUUCGCAAGAACACCAGUGGCGAAGGCAGCCCCCUGGGCUAGCACUGACGCUCAGGCACGAAAGCGUGGGGAGCAAACAGG
rnacentral:rRNA from 1 species